rnacentral:rRNA from 1 species
GGGACACGUGGUAUCCUGUCUGAAUAUGGGGGGACCAUCCUCCAAGGCUAAAUACUCCUGACUGACCGAUAGUGAACCAGUACCGUGAGGGAAAGGCGAAAAGAACCCCGGCGAGGGGAGUGAAAAAGAACCUGAAACCGUGUACGUACAAGCAGUGGGAGCCUUGAUUUAUCAGGGUGACUGCGUACCUUUUGUAUAAUGGGUCAGCGACUUAUAUUCUGUAGCAAGGUUAACCGAAUAGGGGAGCCGAAGGGAAACCGAGUCUUAACUGGGCGUUAAGUUGCAGGGUAUAGACCCGAAACCCGGUGAUCUAGCCAUGGGCAGGUUGAAGGUUGGGUAACACUAACUGGAGGACCGAACCGACUAAUGUUGAAAAAUUAGCGGAUGACUUGUGGCUGGGGGUGAAAGGCCAAUCAAACCGGGAGAUAGCUGGUUCUCCCCGAAAGCUAUUUAGGUAGCGCCUCGUGAAUUCAUCUCCGGGGGUAGAGCACUGUUUCGGCAAGGGGGUCAUCCCGACUUACCAACCCGAUGCAAACUGCGAAUACCGGAGAAUGUUAUCACGGGAGACACACGGCGGGUGCUAACGUCCGUCGUGAAGAGGGAAACAACCCAGACCGCCAGCUAAGGUCCCAAAGUCAUGGUUAAGUGGGAAACGAUGUGGGAAGGCCCAGACAGCCAGGAUGUUGGCUUAGAAGCAGCCAUCAUUUAAAGAAAGCGUAAUAGCUCACUGGUCGAGUCGGCCUGCGCGGAAGAUGUAACGGGGCUAAACCAUG